AACGAACGCUGGCGGCAGGCUUAACACAUGCAAGUCGAACGGGCGUAGCAAUACGCUAGUGGCAGACGGGUGAGGAACACGUGGGAAUAUUCAUUUCAGUUCGGACUAACUCAGGGAAACUUGAGCUAAUACCGGAUACGUCCUUAGGGAGAAAGAUUGAACGCUGAAAGAUUAGCCAGCGUCUGAUGAGCUAGUUGGUGAGGUAACGGCUGACCAAGGGGACGAUCAGUAGGUGGUCUGAGAGGAUGAUCAGCAACAUUGGGACUGAGACACGGCCCAAACUCCUACGGGAGGCAGCAGUGGGGAAUAUUGGACAAUGGGCGCAAGCCUGAUCCAGCCAUGCCGCGUGAGUGAUGAAGGCCUUCAGGUUGUAAAGCUCUUUUGUCCGGGAAGAUAAUGACUGUACCGGAAGAAUAAGCCCCGGCAAACUUCGUGCCAGCCGCCGCCGUAA
rnacentral:rRNA from 1 species